GAUACAAGAAUUGUUUGUUUGUUGAGUGAAGGAAAUUCGGGGGCGAAUUUCAAUUUAAGGGGGGGAGAAUGUAAUAUCCCAUAUUCCCUUAAAUGCUCAAUUAGUUGUCAGUUGGGACCAAUUGAGUACAUGUGUACUAUAUCUUUGGUUAGUUAUAAUAAUUGAAGCUCCUUUGUGCUCUAAAUGUUGUCAAUUGGGACCAAUAGAGUAACCAGUGAACUCUGAAGAGAUUAAUUAUUAAUAAAGAGACAGACCAAUAUUAAUAAGUACAAGAGAGGACAUUUUUGGUAACAUUAAUAAUUGAUCAAUUGGUGCUGGAAGAUGAAAUAUCAAUUGGGAUAUUUUAUUACUACUUGAUAUUAUUUAUAUAUAUUAUAUGGUACGUGUGGUGGAAAAGGAAAAAAAAGAAGUGGAUAAGAAGAGAGGUGGUAGGUAAGAGGAAAGUAGAGAUAUCAGAAAGAAAGAAAGAAAGAAAGGGAAGAGAAGAGAAAGGGAAAGAAAGAGGAAAAGA
rnacentral:lncRNA from 1 species